rnacentral:rRNA from 1 species
AAUAGAUACCCCGGUAGUCCACGCCGUAAACGAUGUCGACUUGGAGGUUGUUCCCUUGAGGAGUGGCUUCCGGAGCUAACGCGUUAAGUCGACCGCCUGGGGAGUACGGCCGCAAGGUUAAAACUCAAAUGAAUUGACGGGGGCCCGCACAAGCGGUGGAGCAUGUGGUUUAAUUCGAUGCAACGCGAAGAACCUUACCUACUCUUGACAUCCACGGAACUUAGCAGAGAUGCUUUGGUGCCUUCGGGAACCGUGAGACAGGUGCUGCAUGGCUGUCGUCAGCUCGUGUUGUGAAAUGUUGGGUUAAGUCCCGCAACGAGCGCAACCCUUAUCCUUUGUUGCCAGCGGUCCGGCCGGGAACUCAAAGGAGACUGCCAGUGAUAAACUGGAGGAAGGUGGGGAUGACGUCAAGUCAUCAUGGCCCUUACGAGUAGGGCUACACACGUGCUACAAUGGCGCAUACAAAGAGAAGCGACCUCGCGAGAGCAAGCGGACCUCAUAAAGUGCGUCGUAGUCCGGAUUGGAGUCUGCAACUCGA